rnacentral:rRNA from 1 species
UACGUAGGUGGCAAGCGUUUGUCCGGAUUUAUUGGGUUUAAAGGGUGCGUAGGCGGCUUAAUAAGUCAGUGGUGAAAGCCGAUCGCUUAACGAUCGAACUGCCAUUGAUACUGCUAGGCUUGAGUAUAGAUGAGGUAGGCGGAAUUGACAGUGUAGCGGUGAAAUGCAUAGAUAUUGUCAAGAACACCAAUUGCGAAGGCAGCUUACUAAGUUAUAACUGACGCUGAGGCACGAAAAGUGCGGGGAUCAAACAGG